AAAGGAUUAUUAUUAUUCUUUCUGUUAGAUGAGGAACUUCAGGAUCAAAGAGGUUAAAUAAUUUCCCCAAGUUGAUAGGUAGCAAAUACAGGACAAUUUAAAAAAUGCAUGCAAAAUCUGUGUUCCACAUAUGAGGGAAAAUGUGAUAUUUGUGUUCCUGGGUUUGGGUGAUUUCUGUAAUAUAACUUCCAGUUCUACCCAUUUCCCUGCAGAUGAUGUGAUUUGUUCUUCAAAGACAGGAUCUGAAUCAAGAUAAUGAUUUUAGAAAGUCAGAACCCAUACAAGAAUAAGCCUACAUUUCAGCUGAAUGUUUAUCAGAAGCCACUAAGCAAUUUCAGCAGGAGAGAGCUUCCACGACAGACACUCAACCUUUGUUCCAGUUUUCACAUGGGAAUAAGUCUGUUUUCCUGCAGUCAGUUUGCUGAGCCCCUUUGCCUCAGAACUAAGCUUAUUUCCCUGCUUCAUAUUCUUCAGAACAAGUUGUGGGAGCAGAGGGUAAGGUUUCCAUUAGAGAACUAACCUGGAACUCUAGAUGGGGGGGGGGGUCUGCAUUCAUGUGUUUCAUGCAGGAAGAAAAGACAAAAUGUUAAGCUUUCCCUUGAAUUCACUCUUGUCCUAAACAAAUCAUUCCUUUAUUUAAUGUGUAGAGACUUUGUUUGUGCUCUAUCUAGAAAGCAAGAUAUAGGACUGACACAGCGAUGUCCUCAUGUAGAAUUGUCUGGAACCAUUGCUGUUUCAGUGCUUCUGUUCUUUUGAAAGUGCAUGUGAAUUACCGAAUGACUUGUCCUAAUUUUAGAUCAAGCAAGUGACUCAUAAUAGUUGCAGGAUGACAAAAAAUAAUAAUAGAAACACUUUUGCACCAAGCAGAACUUCUGUGUUGGUAAAAUGAUACAUUCAAAUGGAGAUAAAAACUAGCACUUAUUGUGUAUUCAUUGUUUGGACCAUCUCUCAUUUUAUAUUUGUAACAUCUCUUUUAGGAAAGUUCUACCUUAAUUAUCAAUCUACAGACAGGGCACAGAAACUUAGUGAGGCUGGUUAACCUGCUUCAGAGUAGUAAGAACUGAGCUCAGAUUUGAACCCAUUAUGAGCACAGAGUCAGUGCUCUUAAACAAACACAGAGAGAGCUUCUGCUGUACACAGCUCCAAGGCUAAACAGGAGCACUGUGAGAUAAAGCUGUAGUGCUGAGGUAGGAUGGGUAGGGAUAAGGAUUUACAGGGACUCAUUAACAAGAUCAGGGAGAAGAUGAAGGAAGAGGAAGCAGGGGGUCAAUGAGCUAGGUAGACAAUGGUUGUGGGAGAAAUUCAAGUAUAAACAUAAGAAGUUGUAGGAUAAUGAGAGGAAUACUACUCUAAGCCUUAACACAAGUGGCAGUUCAUUGCAGUGCCCUGUGGUAGGUAGCACUAGGUUUGUUAUAGUGACUACUGGGAUCUGUAUAAUUUAUAGAUUUUAAGAGACUCGUCUUCCAGAUACAUGAAAAUUGUUUUCUCUUCCUCGGCAUGAAAUGUAAUGCUUCUUUCUCAUGACAUUUUUCUCUCUAAACACCUGAGACUGGUUGAGUUAAGUGGUCUCUGCUUUUGGGGGAGGAACACUAAUUUCCAUAUCUUGCUAAUCAUAAGCCCUCUUUUCCUGAAAUCUAACAAGAAAGUAUCAAGUGGGCUUGGUUUUUAACCUUGAAAGUAAGAAUGUACUGUCUGUAUUUAAUCCUGUAAUGUUUUAUAAUUUAUCAUAUACAUGGCAGAUUUGAUAAACGUUUUAUCUGCUAUGACUGUAUUGGAGUAGAUAACUUAGCUUUUUGAAAAGGUACAUUUUGUCCUGAUGUUAGGAAAUUUGAUACUAAGAUAAGAUGGGAUAGUUACAAAAUUUAAAUGGAGCUAAUAUAUGCACAUAACAAUGUUAUAUAUACUUGUAUGUAGAGUUGAUUAAUAUUUUAAUAUAUAUUCUAAAAUAUAAAAACAUUACAUUAAAUAAAAAACAAGUUACCAAACCCUCUAAUAAUACA
rnacentral:lncRNA from 1 species